GACGAACGCUGGCGGCGUGCUUAACACAUGCAAGUCGAACGGAAAGGCCUCUUUCGGGGGGUACUCGAGUGGCGAACGGGUGAGUAACACGUGAGUAACCUGCCCUUGACUUUGGGAUAACUUCAGGAAACUGGGGCUAAUACCGGAUAGGAGCUCCUGCUGCAUGGUGGGGGUUGGAAAGUUUCGGCGGUUGGGGAUGGACUCGCGGCUUAUCAGCUUGUUGGUGGGGUAGUGGCUUACCAAGGCUUUGCCGGGUAGCCGGCCUGAGAGGGUGACCGGCCACAUUGGGACUGAGAGACGGCCCAGACUCCUACGGGAGGCAGAAGUGGGGAAUAUUGCACAAUGGGUGGAAGCCUGAUGCAGCAACGCCGUGUGCGGGAUGACGGCCUUCGGGUUGUAAACCGCUUUCGCUCAUGACGAAGCUUUGUGUGACGGUAGUGGGUAAAGAAGCACCGGCUAACUACGUG
rnacentral:rRNA from 1 species